GUUUGUAAAGAGAAAUGUUAAAAGAAAGUUAUGUAAAUACAGAGAUUAGCAGGUCCCUGCGCAAGGAUGACACCCAAAUUUGUGAAGUGUUCAUAUUUUUU
rfam:Myotis davidii contig67625, whole genome shotgun sequence.